rnacentral:rRNA from 1 species
GAUGAACGCUGGCGGCGUGCCUAACACAUGCAAGUCGAGCGAACAGACGAGGAGCUUGCUGGUCGGAGGGGAGGGGCGGACGGGGGAGGAACAAGAGGAUAACCUACCUAUAAGACUGGGAGAACAACGGGAAACCGGAGCUAAUACCGGAGAAUAUAUUGAACCGCAUGGUUGAAUAGUGAAAGACGGUUAUGCUGUCACUUAGAGAUGGAUCCGCGGCGCAUUAGCUAGUUGGUGGGGUAACGGCUUACCAAGGCAGCGAUGAGUAGCCGCCCUGAGAGGGGGGUCGGCCGCCCCGGUAGGGCGGCGCCGCCGCGCCGCCUCCUGGGGGCGGCAGUAGGGAAUCUUCCGGAAUGGGCGAAAGCAUCACGGUGCAGCGCCGCGUGAGGGGUGAUGGUCUUCGUCUCGUAGUGCUCUGUUAUUAGCGAAGAACCAAUGUGUAAGUAUCUGUGCACGUCUUGACGGUAGCUAGUUAGAAAGCCCCGGCUAACUACGUG